CCUACGGGUGGCUGCAGUGGGGAAUAUUGGACAAUGGGCGAAAGCCUGAUCCAGCAAUGCCGCGUGAGUGAUGAAGGCCUUAGGGUUGUAAAGCUCUUUUACCAGGGAUGAUAAUGACAGUACCUGGAGAAUAAGCUCCGGCUAACUCCGUGCCAGCAGCCGCGGUAAUACGGAGGGAGCUAGCGUUGUUCGGAAUUACUGGGCGUAAAGCGCACGUAGGCGGCGAUUCAAGUCAGAGGGGAAAGCCCGGGGCUCAAACCCGGAACUGCCUUUGAAACUAGAUUGCUAGAAUCCGGGAGAGGCGAGUGGAAUUCCGAGUGUAGAGGUGAAAUUCGUAGAUAUUCGGAAGAACACCAGUGGCGAAGGCGACUCGCUGGACAGGUAUUGACGCUGAGGUGCGAAAGCGUGGGGAGCAAACAGGAUUAGAUACCCUAGUAGUCCGG
rnacentral:rRNA from 1 species